AUUGAACGCUGGCGGCGUGCUUAACACAUGCAAGUCGUGCGGUAACAGGCGUAGCAAUACGUGCUGACGAGCGGCGAACGGGUGCGUAAUACAUGGGAAUCUGCCCUUUAGUGGGGAAUAACCCGGCGAAAGCCGGGCUAAUGCCGCAUAAGAUCUUCGGAUGAAAGCGGGGGAUCGUAAGACCUCGCGCUGAUGGAUGAGCCCAUGCCGGAUUAGCUAGUUGGUGAGGUAAAGGCUCACCAAGGCGACGAUCCGUAGCUGGUCUGAGAGGACGGCCAGCCACACUGGGACUGAGACACGGCCCAGACUCCUACGGGAGGCAGCAGUGGGAAUAUUGGACAAGUGGGGAAACCCUGAUCCAGCGACGCCGCGUGUGUGAA
rnacentral:rRNA from 1 species